GAUUGAAGUGAACAGAGGAAUUUUCAUUAAUGUGUGGUUGUGUUAGAGAUGCAGAGGAAGGGAUAUAAACAAAACUAUCUGAAAAAGGAAUGGACCCCAUUUGCAAUUCCCUUGCUUUAGGGUUUGAGAAAGAUGGUCAAAGGCGAAGCCAAGAGCGCUUACAGAAUUUGUUUCCAAUUUCUAAUAUCUGUUUUAGGGAAGUCAUUCCGCAUCUCCACUAUCCCUGUCUAGUGAAGAAAGAGAGCAAAUAUGGUGUGACAUGCCUUGUGACUCUCCUCAUGUGUCAGGCCCUACACAGCAUCUUAGUCGCAAACGAAUGUACAUCGAAGAUAAUCUAAGUAAUGCUGAUGAAAUACAAUUGGAAGAAGAGGAGGAAGGGAGAGCAUACUUGCUUCCCAAAAAACUGUCUAAAACCGAAGAUAGAGAUCAUCACACUUACAAAGUGUCUGGAAGCGUAUCUCCAUUAUCAACAAAUGACUUUUCUAUCCGUGGGGAGAGCUGGGAAAGUGAGAUCUCAGGGCUAGGGGUGAUGUGCGAAAGCCUCAACAUAGAUUUUAGAAGGAAGUUUCAUGUGAGUUACCAUUCUUUAAAUUAUGAUUUAUACCCAAUAAUAUGCUAAGAUACUAGCUUUCUCCUAGACUAUUAGCUGGGUUGAUCCUUUGGCAACAAAAUACCCAUUUGUUAACUCCCUUGGUCCUCAUGGACUGGUGAAAAGUGGAAUGAUUCAUCUUAGGAGCCAGGUUUCUCUUCUAAAAUUUGUGCGUUAUCCAUAUUCUUUCUUUUGCUAGAUUCUUUGUCUUAUUUCCCUUUUCAGUUUGUUUACCAUUUGGACUCUUGGCACGAUUUUUCUUUUUUUCCGAACAAUUUUCAUGCCUCAUCUUUUUAUGGCAUGGAGAGGACUUCUAGAGAGGGCACCAUCACAGAGCAUAAAGGAUGGAGCCCCUCUCAUUCUUUGUCACCAGGUCUGCACACCUGCGGAGCCUUAGCUGCUGAGGCUCCAGUGAGGUGAUGCUUACAAAAAUACUUUCUAGAACAAUUUUUAAUUCACAUGCCUGUGUUUAGUUCUCUUUGCUUGCUGUUAAC